rnacentral:lncRNA from 1 species
CGGGGAGGGAGGAGGAGUAAAGACUGUUUACAAACUUGACGUACACACGCAGCCUUACCCAUACGGUCCAGGAAUCGGGGGGCCACCACCUGGGGCUUCUCUGAAGGGCCGCAUUCAGGUUCCGGGUCACUGCCCACCGCGAGGAUAACCUUCCAAACAACGGAAGGAACUCCUGCGCUCCAGCCCGAAGUCUUGGGGCAGCCAUGACUCACAGCAGCAGCCCCUCAGCCUUCGCCAGACCGCCGCCUCCGCCCACCCUGAACAACCUCAGCAACGCAGCCUGGGCGCCUCGGCUCCGAGGGCUUUGCUGGGGGCUUCAGGGGUCGACCUCCUUCCGCGUACCCCAGCAGGCUAGACCUCCCCCACCCAGCCUUCAAGCUUGCCGCGCUGCGCACCCGACUUCUCUAGUGCGCGGCGGGGAUGGCUGCAGCAUCCAGGCGAGGAACUCUGAAAACUCACAACGCACCGGACUAAAUAAGCAAGACUGCGCCCAGACACCAUCAUGAAUAUCACAGACUGGCUUGCAUAUCAUAUAACGUACAACUGACUUGAUCGACUCCUUCAGGCGUCCUGACUUCAGUUAGCUGCAUCUGCUAAUGCUGGAAUUGUGUUUUGAAGCAAAAUCCAUGAGGUUCAUUCAUCCACCAAACAUCCAUUGAGCCUUUCCUCUGGGGCUGAGGGAAGAGCAAGACCUUCAAGGAACUCCCGGCGGAGUCUGUCUGAGAGCUGAAACAUGCCACAGCCUUUCUCUUGUGGUGCUUUCUAUGGUGUACCGUUCUCCUCAAGUAGAGCUUGGACCUGCUUCUUUCCUUUUGAAUGCCGAGGGCUCAGUCUACAUGUUCCUUUGCCUGACUGGAAGGCAUAUUAUGAAACGGAUGUUCUGUCAGAGACGCAGGAGUAUUUCCUCUUGCUAUGAAAUAUUGUACAAGCUGAAUCAGCAGAGAUGGAGAGAGAACAAAAGAGCUGUCAUCUCAAAAAGAGGCAGAAGAUUAGAGAUUAGGGGGAGUAAGAAGGCGGCCAGUCUUUCAUGGCAAGGAGCUUCAUUACUCUCUGCAUUGCCCAGACUUGGUUGCCAUGAUCCACCAUUCUGA